GAUUCAUGGCAGGGUCUUCUGAUCUGACAGCUUUAUUUCUUUUAUAAAUAGAAGCAUGUGCCCUCAAAAGAGGCCAAGGAUAUUUUCAAAGUUGAUCAGGAUUGCAACUCUGGAAGUUGUGGGACCUACUGCUCCUGCGGGACUGUGACCAAUCUGGAGUGCAGCAACUUACAUGCUGACCUUUGCAGACUUCCAGUGGUCAGGGGAAAAUGGAGGAGAUUUGCAAAAUAAUUUGGCCCAGCAAACGAGGAGACAAAUGCUAGAAAAAUAAAAUGAGAAGCCACCUGCCUUAUACAGUUAAGGUUGGCUUAGAGUUUGUCAAGUGGCUGACAAGCUGUCCAACUCUUAAGCACUUAAAAAAACUUGACAUUCUUCAUGGUAGAAGCAGGGAGUUACAUAUUUACUUUUAUAUGGAGGGGAGAAAAGCUUUUCUUAAAACAAAAAGCUUCACAAAAUGUGGGUUCCACUGGCUCGGUCACAUCCUGAAUUCUCCUGGAGGCAGUGAACCACUUCCUUGAACUGUUGCAGUCAAUGGACGGCACCUAUCGUUGAUCAGCUGGAGUGACCGGAGAUACCUCACCUCAUCAUUUACACACAUGUUCUUCAGUGGGGAGAGAGAAGGAGGAGACAAACUAAUAAAGGAACAUGCUCUACCAUC